UGGAGUGGUGUCCGAGCGGCUGAAGGAGCACGCUUGGAAAGCGUGUGUACGGGAAACUGUACCGCGGGUUCGAAUCCCGCCCACUCCGG
rnacentral:tRNA from 1 species